GAAAGUCUCUGACUUAUGCUUGAUCAAGUAGACAUAUCCAUAUCUACUAUAAUCAUCAGUAAAAGUCAAAUAAUAACGAUUAGCAUCCCUUGUGGCAUGUUUGAAUGGUCCACACACAUCCGUGUGUAUAAGGUCCAACAAACCUUCACCCCUCUCACACGAACCUGUGAAGGGUGACUUUGUCAUUUUUCCAAGUAAGCAUGAUUCGCAACUAUCAUCUGACUUUAGGUCAAACGACUCCAAGACUCCAUCCUUUUGGAGUUGGCCUAUGCGUUUCUUGCUUAUAUGUCCAAGACGACAAUGCCAUAAAGAUGCUUUAUCCAAGUUAUUAUUAGUAGAAUCAAUACACAAAACAUUAUUUCCCAAGUUAUCUACAACAGAUACAGCUUCAUACACACCAUCACAAGGUAAUGCUUUAAAAUAAAAGACAUUAUUAUAGAAAACAUCUAUAGAACCAACUUCAUUAUUAAAUGAAAAGGUAAACCCUUGUUUGUACAAAGCAUGAAAGGAAAUAAUAUUUCUUGCCAUUCCUGGCGAAUAACAACACUUAUUCAAAUCUAAACUAAACCCACUACUUAGCGAUAAAGUAUAAACUCCAAUCUUGGUAACAGGUAUAGCUUUCCUAUUCCCCAUGAUCAAGUUUAUCCUUCCUUGCUCCACAUCCUCACUUCUUCUUAGUCCCUGCAAGUCACAACAAAUGUGAAUACCACACCCGGUAUCAAGGACCCAAGAAUUAGAAUGGGGUGAGUUAUUAGAAAUGAUAGUGUAAAUACCUGCAUGGUUGGGUUUAACUUUCCCAUCCUUCACAUCUUGCUGGUAUUUUGGGCAGUUCCGCUUCCAAUGAGCUUUUUCAUGGCAAUAGAAGCAUUCAGCCUCUUUUGGGUCAGAAGAAGGAGUAAUGAAACCUUUCUUGGUUCCACUUGAAGAAGAGCCAUCAAGGGUCCGAACCUUGGUACCCUUAGAAGAGCUCUUUCUCUUCCUCCCUCGACUUUUCCCGAUUGCCAAAACCGGAGUAGAGUUUUGAGUAGGAGUGAUAGCAACCGACUUCCCCUUAAGACCUGAUUCUGCGGUCUUGAGAAGUCCCUGAAGUUUGCUGAGGGUGACUUCUUCCUUGUUCAUGUGAUAUGUCAUGCGGAAUUGAUCAUAGCACGAUGGUAAGGAAUGCAAAAUAAUAUCUAUUGCAAGAUCCUCCGGGAAGUUCACAUUAAGCUUCAGCAAACGAUCCACAUACCUUUGCAUUUUCUGCAUGUGGCUCGUGACGGAUUCCCCGUCCUUCAUCAUGGUUGUUAUCAUGGAGCAGAUGAUUUCAUACCUCUCUUGUCUUGCACUUUGAUGGUAUCUUUCCAUCAAAUCUUGGUGCAUUUCAUAAGGGUAGAAAUCCUCAUAAGACUUUUGGAGUUCCGCUGUCAUCGUGGCCAUCAUGAUGCAAGCCACUUUCGUAGCAUCCCUUUCAUGUGCCCGAAAUUCAGCGAUCUCCUGAGGAGUUGCAGUGGACUCAUCAAUCUCCUUAAGCUCCUUGUCAAGGACAUAUUCUUUGUCCUCGUAGCGGGUAAUCAUCCUGAUGUUUCUGAUCCACUCAUUGAAGUUGGAUCCAUCAAAGGUGACUUUCCCACACAAGUUCAUAAGGGUAAAGGAGCCAUUAGGAUUAGAGCCAGAAGCAUUGUUGAAAGACAUCUGAAGGAAAGAGGACAAGAUUAGUUUAGAUAUAAGAGAGUCCUUAAUAAAACACCCAAAUGUAAUAUUAAGGCUAGGAUCCAAUCACAAUAUAAUAUAACUUAGAAGAGGUAUGCCGUAAUCUAAGCUAUAUCAUAUUUGAAAGGUAGGUGAAUGACGAUUCACCAAUUUCCACCACGAAAACCGCAAUAUUUUAGUAUUAGGUUUUUGAAUGGUUCUUAGAAAUUCCUAGAUUCUUUGAGAUUCAAUGAACUUUUCAAAGGCAUGUUUCAAUCUCGAGUGUGCCCUCCAAGUUUUGUGACUGGGAUACCGAGGAUCACAAAACGAGGUGUGAAGUAACCAUGCAAAUCACUUGGUACCCUUAAAGUUUAUCACUCAAUCGAUGUGCCGGUUAACCACACACGCUCCAUCGAUACUAUAAUAAACCCUAAGUCACCCUUUACCUACCUUGUUAAGUCCAAGUUAGUGUGCCGGUUAACCACACACGCUCCACCAACGACUUAAUCAAAGUGUAAAGUGUAAUUUCAUGGAAUAGCACCUUAUUCACAUUUUUCCUAAAGUAACUAAGAUUGGGAAUUUAAUAAAACAUUUAGUUACUUUAUAAUAUUCAUCAUACUUUGAAUGAGAAUUAAUAAGUCCUUGUCUUACCCGUUCGGCUAACGACCCUCCACCGAUCAAGCAAGCGGUGGGUGAGAGUGGACACCCAUUAAGUCACCAUUUUAUAGGCAACAACCUUAUACCCACCUUAUAGACCGGCUUCGUGAAUGAGGCGUACUAGCGGUAAGACGACUUUGUUCUUAUACAUAUAUAUAUAAUUAUUAAAUCAUAAUAAUAUAAGUAUAAGGGUUGAAUUUUAACUUUUAAAAUUCUAGGGGUUGGAACUAAAGUUUUAACUUAACUUUACUUGUUCCAAAACUUGAGGGCAAGUUUUGUAAACUUUCAAAACUUUUCAUUUCUUGUAACUUAUGAGUUUAAUAGAGUAAUAAAAUGAGGACUUUUCAUUUUUCCUAACUCUUGUGUUCUUUUAAUGGUUUUUAAUCCAAGAGACUUUUGGUUUUCCAUAACUUGAGGACAAGUUAUGGACUCCAUUAAAACACAUUAUGAUCAUGAAUUAAUCUACCACAUAGGUUACAAAUAAUUCCUAUGAUCAUCUAAACAUCAUAAGAACAAGAAUAUGAAUAUGAACACUUUCAAGAAUCAAAAUCACAUUUAAUCUUUGUAAUUUUGAUAACUAGUUGUUGUAAAUGAGUUAGAAAAGACAUUACACCUUCUAAAAUAAGUUUUCAAGUACCAAAACAUUUUAGGGUAAUGAUUCUAAUCCAUUUCCAGCAACUCAAGUCGAAAUUCUGCACUCUGUCGACCCUACUCGCCGAGUGCAUAAACCUACUCGCCGAGUAGGUUGAAGAUACACAUGAACUCGACGAGUCCUCCCCAUGGACUCGCCGAGUCCAUCAGUCAGACAGCAAGAUUUUCGACUUUCUUCAACUUUUAAGCACAAAUAACAAACAAACAAGCCUAGGCUCUGAUACCACUGAUGGGUUUUGAGCAUUCUAACACUUCCUAAGUGUACAUGCAACCCUAAUAACCUUGGAUCUAUGUUUGUCUAAUUAUCAUGCAAAGUUGAAUUCCAAGGUUAUAUUCCUAUCUAGCAUACAUGGGGAACAAUUUUAACUUGAAUCAUAGAUAGAAUAACUUACCUUGUUGUUGCUUGUGUUCCUUGAAACCUUGUGAGCCUAGCACCCCAAGUGUGAUGCCUCAAAUGCUUCACACAACACCAAAUGCUCUUGGAAAGACUCUUGAGAUAACACACACUUCUCAAAAUCGGCCAAGCCCUCUAGUUUCUUAGUGUAGCCGAUUUUGGUGGAGAAUAUGAUUCUUAUAUAGUGUUGACACAUCUAGGGUUACACCAUGUAAACCCUAAUGUGUCAUGACUCUUCAUUUCCAUGACCCAUGGGUUUGUAACUCCCAUGGAGCAUCCAUGGAGCAUCCUAUGGGUAGAACCCAACUUGAUAAUCCAUGGAGCCUCUUAGCCCACUAUACAAGAUAUGGAUGAUUUACAUAAUCAACCCAUAUAUUUAAUUAGUUAUCCUUUGAUCACUUAAUUAAUUCCAAAUUAAUUCUUUGAUCAACUAAUCAAAUAAUAUUAUUAAUAUAUUAGAACUUAUAAUAUAUUAAUAAUCUCCAAGUGUUAUUUCUCUCAUUUAGUCUAUCCAAUUGCAUGGUGCCAUGCAACCCAAAUGGACCAUGCCGGGUCGGGUCAAGUACAAGCCCGAAAUAGUUAUGGACUUAGACACCUUAUCCAACAGUCUCCCACUUGGAUAAGUCUAAUAACUAUAUCUCUAGUACUUCAGGAACCGACCGGCAAUCGUAGCUCUUUCAAGGUCUCUCGGAACUGAGAAGAUGAUGGUACGCCAUUUAAGAUAAGUGAUCAUAUAAUCCUCCGUUCUAGAUAUCAGCCGGACAAAUACAUGGAACAUUGUCUUGCUUAUUGUCCAGCAUUUGUUUCCCGAUUUCCGAUUUGUUUGACAUAGAACUUAAUUGAACACAUCAACUUAGUUCUGACCGGGCCCGGUACAUGGGUCAAAACAAAAUCAUCGAGGGGCCCAGAUAUCAGCUUCUAAUCCAAGAAGGAACAGAUAAACUUCGACUCAUAUGUUUGUUCUACCACUCAUUGAAUUACACACAAAAGUACGUUUUAUAACAUCGAGUUACCAAUGCGGUUUCGUACAGUCAAUGCAUAACCAACUUGUAAGUAACAAAUCAUAUCUCUAGGUUUGAAGACUUAUAUGAUAUUACCGUCUCACGAUCACUCGAGAUAGAAUUCCAUGAAGUGAUUCCAGUGAGCGUGGGUUGAGUCCAAUGCUCAGAACUUAUGAGCACUCAUGAUUGUUGUAGCCUUGUCCAACACCUUAGACCUCUGCAACCAAUCAUGACAGUCUUGAUUCAUACCUACUUCCGACAUAUGACCGACUGUGGAGGUUUGAAUAAUAUGAUAUACCAAACAUAAUUAUUCUGGAAGUUAAAACAUGCAAAAGAAAUAUAGUAAACGAUCGACAUGAGAUAGCAACACUUUACUCAUAAAUAAAACACCUUUUAUUCAUCAUCUAAUCUCAAUUACACUUUACAAAUUUCAAGGUUAUAUGACUACUAAAUCUAAUAUAAUCCUUCAGCCCUAUGCUCCGAGCAUGCUGGAGAGGCUUAACCCGAUUCAGUCCCUUUGUGAGGGGAUCUGCUGGAUUCUCAUCCGAUGAUACCCUCUUUGCCACGAGGAGUCCUUAUUCUAUUCGAUGUCUGAUGAAAUGGUAUUUUCUGUAGAUGUGUCUGGAUCUCCCGUGAUCCCUUGGUUCCCUGGCUAAGGCAACAGCACUUUCACUAUCACAGAAAAUUUCCAUUGGCUCUUUAAUAGCUGGUACAACUCCAAGGUCUCCAAUGAAGUUCUUCAGCCAUAUCGCCUCCUUUGUUGCCUCACUCGCUGCUAUAUACACUAAUUCGCAAGUUGAAUCAGCCACCGUUUCUUGCUUGGAACUCUUCCAAGAAAUUGCUCCUCCGUUUAAGGUAAAGACCCAUCCCGACUGAGAGCCGAAAUUAUCACUAUCAGUCUGAAAGCUAGCAUCACUAUACCCUACAACUCUCAAGUCAUCACUCCCACUGAGGGUAAGGACCCAGUCCUUAGUCCUCCGUAGGUACUUGAGGAUAUUCUUUACCGUAGUCCAGUGUGCCUUGCCAUGGUUCCCCUGAUACCUGCUAACCAUGCUCAAGGCAAAAGCUACAUCGGGUCGAGUACACGUCAUAGCAUACAUGAUCGAUCCUACAGCCGAAGCGUAAGGUGUUCGACUCAUUUCUGCUAUCUCAGCCUCAGUGCUAGGGCUUUGUGUCUUACUCAAUCUGGUGUUACUCUGGAUGGGUAACUCUCCUUUCUUGGAAUCCUGCAUGCUGAAUCUCUUCAGCACCUUAUCCAAGUAGGUACUCUGACUAAGUCCAAUUAGUCUUUUACUCCGAUCUCUCAAGAUCCUUAUCCCUAAAAUAUAGGCAGCUUCACCAAGGUCCUUCAUAGCGAAACACUUCCCAAGCCAGGACUUUACUUCCUGCAGGGUUGGAAUGUCGUUUCCUAUGAGUAGUAUGUCAUCCACAUACAAUACCAAAAAGCUAACUAUACUCCCACUAGCCUUGACAUACACACAAGAUUCAUCUUCACUCCUAGAAAAGCCAAAUUCCUUGACCUUUUCAUCAAAGCAAAGAUUCCAUCUGCGAGGUGCUUGCUUCAAUCCAUAAAUGGAUUUCUCAAGCUUACACACUCUAUUAGGGUACUCGUUGCUGACAAAACCCUCUGGCUGACUCAUGUAAACAUCUUCAGCCAACUUUCCAUUAAGGAAAGCGGUUUUGACAUCCAUCUGCCAUAUUUCAUAGUCAUGAAAUGCAGCUAUGGCUAACAGAACCCGAAUAGACUUAAUCUUGGCUACNNNNNNNNNNNNNNNNNNNNNNNNNNNNNNNNNNNNNNNNNNNNNNNNNNNNNNNNNNNNNNNNNNNNNNNNNNNNNNNNNNNNNNNNNNNNNNNNNNNNNNNUGUCUUACGACCUGGUACAUUCUCAACCAAGUUCCAAACUUGAUUGUCAUACAUGGACUGUAUCUCGCUGUCCAUUGCCUCUUUCCACUUGGCUGACUCAGGGCCUGCCAUGGCUUCCGCGUAACUGUUAGGUGCAUCCAGGCCUAUAAGUGUCUCAUCACUGAUAAGUGUAUCACCUUCCGUAGUAAUAUGGAAUCCAUAGUAAUGCUCAGGUGCAUUCCUAACCCUUGUGGUACGCCUCAGAGGUACAGAUUUGUUAAUUGGCUCAACAGGAGUUUCCUCCUCAAGUUGAGUGCUAGGGUUUGAAGUUCCUUCGCCACACGACUCUUGAAUUUCUUCAAGGUCAACUUGCCUCCCACUGUUUCCUUGGCUUAUGAACUCUCUCUCUCUCUCUCGAAAGACAGCCCUCCUAGCUACAAAGACCACAUUUUCACUAGGUCUGUAGAAGAGGUAACCAAAGGAUUGUUGUGGGUAGCCGAUGAAAAUACACCUCUCGCUUCGAGGUUCGAGCUUAUCAUGAGUCUCGCGUCUCACGAAAGCCUCGCAACCCCAAAUCUUGAUGUGGUCUAGUUUGGGUACUUUACCAGUCCACAUCUCUUGAGGAGUUUUGGCAACUUUCUUUGUAGGGACUAGAUUAAGGAUAUGGGCAGCAGUCUCUAAGGCAUACCCCCAAAAUAAGAAGUUCGACUCAUCAUGGAACGAACCAUAUCCAACAAAGUUCGAUUACUCCUCUCAGCUACACAAUUCAACUGCAGUGUCCUGGGAAUUGUCAAUUGUGAGACAAUCCCACAUUCCCUAAGAUAGUCGAGGAACUAUGAACUAAGAUACUCACCAGCUCGAUCGGAUCGAAGCAUAUUAAUGUUCCUGCCCAAUUGAUUCUCGACUUCCUGUUUAAAUUCUUUAAGCCUUUCAAAAGUCUCUGACUUAUACUUGAUUAACUAGACAUAUCCAUAUCCACUGUAAUCAACAGUAAAAGUCAAAUAAUAAUGAUUAGCAUCCCUUGUGGCAUGUUUGAGGGGUCCAGACACAUCCGUGUCUAUAAGAUCCAACAAACCUUCACCCUUCUCACAAGAACCUGUGAAGGGUGACUUUGUCAUUUUUCCAAGUAAGCAUGAUUCGAAACUAUCAUCUGACUUUAGGUCAAAUGACUCCAAGACUCCAUCCUUUUGGAGUUGGCCUAUGCAUUUCUUGCUUAUAUGUCCAAGACGACAAUGCCAUAAUGAUGCUUUAUCCAAGUUAUUAUUAUUAACAGAAUCAAUACACAAUACAUUAUUUCCUAAGUUAUCAACCACAGAUACUGUUUCAUACACGCCAUCACAAGGUAAUGCUUUAAAAUAAAGAACAUUAUUAAAGAAAGCAUUAAUCGAACCAACUUCAUUAUCAAAUGAAAAGGUGAAACCUUGUUUAUACAAUGCAUGAAAGGAAAUAAUAUUUCUUGCCAUUUCUGGCGAAUAACAACAUUUAUUCAAAUCUAAACUAAACCCACUACUUAGCGAUAAAGUAUAAACUCCAAUCUUGGUGACAGGUAUAACUUUCCUAUUCCCCAUGAUUAAGUUUAUUCUUCAAUGCUCCACAUUCUCACUUCUUCUUAGUCCCUGCAAAUCAGAACAGAUAUGAAUACCACAACCGGUAUCAAGGACUCAAGAGUUAGAAUGGGGUGAGUUAUUAGAUAAGAUAGUGUAAAUACCUGCAUUGUUGGGUUUAACUUUCACAUCCUUCACAUCUUGCUGGUACUUUGGGUAGUUCCGCUUCCCAUGUGAUUUUUCAUGGCAAUAGAAGCGCUCAGCCGCUUUUGGGUCAGAAGAAGGAGUGACGAAACCUUUCUUGGCUCCACUUGAAGAAGAGCCAUCAAGGGUCCUAGCCUUGGUACCCUUCGAAGAUCUCUUCCUCUUCUUCCCUCGACCUUUCCCGAUUGCCAAAACCGGGGCGGAGUUUGGAGUAGGAGUCUUAACAACCGACUUACCCUUAAGACCUGUUUUUGUGGUCUUGAGGAGUCCCUGAAGUUUGCUAAGUGUGACCUCUUCCUUAUUCAUGUGAUAUGUCAUGCGGAAUUGAUCAUAUCAUGAUGGUAAGGAGUGCAAAAUAAUAUCUAUUGCAAGCUCUUCAGGGAAGUUCACAUUAAGAUUCAGCAAUCGAUCCACAUACCUUUGCAUUUUCUGCAUUUGGCUCGUGACGGAUUCCCCGUCCUUCAUCAUGGUUGUUAUGAUGGAACAGAUGAUUUCAUACCUCUCUUGUCGUGCACUUUGAUGGUAUCUUUCCAUCAGAUCUUGGUGCAUUUCAUAAGGGUAGAAAUCCUCAUAGNUUUGGAGUUCUGCUGUCAUGGUCGCCAACAUGAUGCAUGCUACUUUGGUAGCAUCCCUUUCAUGUGCCCGAAAGUCAGCGAUCUCCUGGGGAGUUACAGUGCUCUCAUCAAUCUCCUUAAGAUCCUUGUCAAGGACAUAUUCUUUGUCCUCGUAGCGGGUAAUCAUCCUGAUGUUUCUGAUCCAUUCAUUGAAGUUGGAUCCAUCAAAAGUGACUUUCCACAAAAGUUCAUAAUGGUAAAGGAGCCAUUAGGAUUAGUGCCAGAAGCAGCAUUGUUUGAAGACAUCUGAAAGAAGAGAACAAAAUUAGUUUAGAUAUUAAGAGAGAGUCCUUAAUAAAACACUCGAAUGUAAUAUUAAGGCUAGGAUCCAAUAACAAUAUAUUAUAACUUAGAAGAAACGUAGGCGAAUGACGAUUCACCAAUUUCCACCAUGAAAAACAAAAUAUAAACAUUAGGUUUUAAUUGGUUCUUAGAAAUUCCUAGAUUCUUUUGAGAUUCAUUGAACUUUUCAAAGGCAUAUUUCAAUCUCGAGUGUGCCCUCCAAGUUUUGUGACUGGGAUACCGAGGAUCACAAAACGAGGUGUGAAGUAACCAUGCAAAUCACUUGGUACCCUUAAAGUUUAUCACCCAAUCAAUGUGCCGGUAAACCACACUCGCUCCACCGAUACUAUGAUAAACCUUAAGUCACCCUCUACCUACCUUGUUAAGUCCAAGUUAGUGUGCCGAUUAACCACACACACUCCACCAACUACUUAAACAAAGUGUAAAGUGUAAUAUCAUGGAUUAGCACCUUAUUCACAUUUUUCCUAAAGUAACGAAGAUUGGGAAUUUAAUAAAAGCAUAUAGUUACUUUAUAAUAUUCUUCAUACUUUUAAUGAGAAUUUAUAAGUCCUUGUCCUACCCCUUCGGCUAACGACCCUCCACCGAUCAAGGAAGCGGUGGGUGAGAGUGGACACCCAUUAAGUUGUCAUUUUAUAGGCAACAACCUUAUACCCCCCUUAUAGACCAGCUUCGUGAAUGAGGCGUACUAGCGGUAAGACGACUUGAUCUUAUACAUAUAUAUUAUUAACUUAUAAUAUAAAGUAUAAGGCUUGAAUUCUAACUUUUAAAAUUCUAAGGGUUGGAACUAAAGUUUAUUAAGUGACUUUACAUGUUUCGAAACUUGAAGGCAAGUUUUGUAACUCUACAAAACCUUUCAUAUUCGUAACUUAUGAGUUAUUAAAAUGAAGACUCUUCAUUUUAUAACUUAUGUGUUCUUUUAAUGGUGUUUAACACAAAGAGACUUUUGGUUAUCCAUAACUUGAGGACAAGUUAUGGACUCCAUUAAAACAUAUAAAGAUUAUGAAUUAACCAUAUAAAUAAGUAACUCCUAUGAUCUCUCAAGAACUCAUAAGAACAUGAAUAUUCAUAUCAACCUUUCAAGAACAUAUGAACACAUAUAAUUAUGAAAAAUUGAUAUUAGCCAUUGUAAAUGGAUUAGAACAACCAUUACACCUUCUAAAACAAGUUUUAUAACACCAAAACAGUUUAGGGUAAUGUUUCUAGUCCAUUUCCAGCAGCCAAGCUCCAAAAAAUGCUCAUCGGAUGACAAACUCGUUGAGUUCAACUGGGAACUCGUCGAGUUCAUGCUUUAACACACAAACUCGACGAGUUUGUGGCCAGAACUCGUCGAGUUUUCCUGUCUGGACAGUUUUUGGCAUUUGAAAAACAAGUUUGCAUCAAGUAUUCAACAAACAAGCCUAGGCUCUGAUACCACUGAUGGGUUUUGAGCAUUCUAACACUUCCUAAGUGUACAUGCAACCCUAAUAAACCUUGGAUAUAUUUUUGUCUAAAUACAUGCAAAAUUUGGUUUCCAAGGUUCAUAAUCCUAUCUAGCAUACAUGGGAACUUUAAUCCUCAAAGGAUAGCUAGAAAUAGAUACCUUGUAGUUGAUUUUAAUUCCUUGAAACCUUGUGAGCCUAGCACCCAAAGUGUGAUGCCUCAAAUGCUUCACACAUCACCAAAUGCUUUUGGAAUGACUUUAGGAGAAUGCACACACUCUAAAAUCGCCCUAGCCCUCUUGUUUCUUAGUGUAGCCGAUUUUGGUGGAUAGUAUGUUACUUAUAUAGUGUUGACACAUCUAGGGUUACACCAUGUAAACCCUAAUGUGUCAUGACUCUUCAUUUCCAUGACCCAUGGGUUUGUAACUCCCAUGGAGCAUCCUAUGGGUUUAACCCAACUUGAUAAUCCAUGGAGCCUUUUAGCCCACUAUACAAGUUAUGGAUGAUUUACAUAAUCAACCCAUAUAUUUAAUUAGUUAUCUUUUGAUCACUUAAUUAAUUCCAAAUUAAUUCUUGAUCAAUACUAAUUAAAUAAUACUAUUAAUAUAUUAGAACUUAUAAUAUAUUAAUAAACCACAAGUGUUAUUUCUCUCAUUUAGUCUAUCCAAAAUGCAUGAUGCCAUGCAACCCAAAUGGACCAUGCCGGGUCGGGUCAAGUACAUACCAUAAAUAGUUGUGGACUUAGACACCUUAUCCAACAAUAUACACAUGAAUCAUCUUCGCUCCUCGAAAAGCCAAACUCUUUGACUUUCUCAUCGAAACAAAGAUUCCAUCUACAAGGUGCUUGUUUCAAUCCAUAGAUGGAUUUCUCAAGCUUACACACUCUAUUAGGGUACUCUAUGCUGAGAAAACCCUCUGGCUGACUCAUGUAAACAUCCUCAGCCAACUUUCCAUUAAGGAAAGCGGUUUUGACAUCCAUUUGCCAUAUUUCAAAGUCAUGAAAUGCAGCAAUGGCUAGCAUAACCCUAAUAGACUUAAUCUUCGUUACUGGUGAAAAUGUCUCAUUAUAAUUAACUCCCGGAGCUUGAGAAAAGCCCUUUGCAACCAGUCGUGCCUUAUAAGUGUGUACAUUACCAUCCAUGUCAGUCUUCUUCUUGAAGAUCCAUUUUCACCCGACUGUCUUACGACCUGGUACAUUGUCAACCAAGUUCCAAACUUGAUUGGCAUACAUGGACUGUAUCUAGUUGUCCAUAGCCUCUUUCCAUUUAGCAGCCUCAGGGCCUGCCAUGGCUUCCGUGUAGCUGUUAGGUUCAUCCAUACUUACCAGUAUGUUGUCACUUAUAAGUGUAUCACCUUCCGUAGUAUAUGGAAACCAUAGUAAUGUGAAGGUGCAUUCCUAACUCUCGUGGAACGCCUCAGAGAUACGGACUCAUCUGUCGGAUCAACAGGAGUUUCCUCCUCAGGUUGAUUGCGAAGGUUUGAGGUUCCUUCAUCACUCGACUCUUGAAUUUCUUCAAGGUCAAUUUUCCUCCCAUUAUUUCCUUGGCUCAUGAACUCUCUCUCGCGAAAGACUCCUCUCCUUCCUAUAAAGACCACAUUAUCGUUGGGUUUGUAGAAGGGGUAACCAAAGGAUCUCUGUGAGUAGCCGAUGAAAAUACACCUCUCACUUCGAGCUUCGAGCUUAUCGUGUGUCUCGCGCCUCAUGAAAGCCUUGCAACCCUAAAUUUUGAUGUGGUCUAGAUUUGGAACUUUUCCAGUCCACGUCUCAUGAGGUGUUUUGGCAGCCUUUUUGGUAAGGACUAGAUUAAGGAUAUGGGCUGCAUUCUCUAAGGCAUACCCCUAAAAUGAGAUUGGUAGCGAAGCUCGACUCAUCGUGGAACAAACCAUAUCCAAUAACUUCGGUUGCGCCUCUCAGCCACACCAUUCAACUGCGGUGUCCUUGGAGGUGUCAAUUGUGAGACAAUCCCACACUCCUUAAGAUAGUCAAGGAACUUUGUACUAAGAUACUCACCACCUCGAUCGGAUCGAAGCAUCUUAAUGUUCCUACCCAACUGAUUCUCCACUUCCUGUUUAACCUCCUUGAACUUUUUAAAGGUCUCAGACUUAUGCUUGAUUAAGUAGACAUAUCCAUAUCUACUAUAAUCAUCAGUAAAAGUCACAUAGAAGCAGUUAACAUCUCUUGUGGCGGUUCUGAAGGGUCCACACACAUCAGUAUGUAUGAGGUCCACAAAACCCUCACCCCUAGCACACGAACCAGUGAAGGGUGACAUUGUCAUUUUCCCAAGCACACAAGAUUCACAACUAUCAUCCGACUUUAGGUCAAAUGACUCCAAGACUCCAUCCUUUUGGAUUUGGCCUAUGCGUUUCUUGCUUACAUGUGUAAGAAGAAAAUGCCAUAAUGAUGCUUUAUCCAAUCUAGUGGAAGAAUCGAUAAUACAUUAUUUCCUAGGUUAUCAACAACCGACACAGUUUCAUACACACCAUCACAAGGUAAUGCUUUAAAAUAAAGAACAUUAUAAAAGAAAGCAUUAAUACUACCACAUUCAUUAUCAAACGAAAAGGUAAAACCUUGUUUGUACAAACCAUGAAAGGAAAUAAUAUUUCUCGCCAUUUCAGACGAGUAACAACACUUAUUCAAAUCUAACACUAACCCACUACUUAGCAACAAAGAAU
rnacentral:lncRNA from 1 species